UACGUAGGGUGCGAGCGUUGUCCGGAAUUACUGGGCGUAAAGGGCUCGUAGGUGGUUUGUCGCGUUGUUCGUGAAAACCGGGGGCUUAACCCUCGGCGUGCGGGCGAUACGGGCAGACUUGAGUACUGCAGGGGAGACUGGAAUUCCUGGUGUAGCGGUGGAAUGCGCAGAUAUCAGGAGGAACACCGGUGGCGAAGGCGGGUCUCUGGGCAGUAACUGACGCUGAGGAGCGAAAGCGUGGGGAGCGAACAGG
rnacentral:rRNA from 1 species